GGGCCCGCACAAGCAGUGGAGUAUGUGGUUUAAUUCGAAGCAACGCGAAGAACCUUACCAGGGCUUGACAUCGUGUGCAUAGUGUAGAGAUACAUGAAGUUCUUCGGAACACACAGACAGGUGGUGCAUGGUUGUCGUCAGCUCGUGUCGUGAGAUGUUGGGUUAAGUCCCGCAACGAGCGCAACCCUUAUUGUUAGUUGCCAGCAUGAAAGAUGGGCACUCUAACGAGACUGCCGGUGACAAAUCGGAGGAAGGUGGGGACGACGUCAAAUCAUCAUGCCCCUUAUGUCCUGGGCUACACACGUACUACAAUGGCUGUUAACAACGGGGAGCUAAGCCGCGAGGUGGAGCAAAUCCCAAAAAACAGUCCCAGUUCAGAUUGCAGGCUGAAACUCGCCUGCAUGAAGUCGGAAUUGCUAGUAAUCGCAGAUCAGCAUGCUGCGGUGAAUACGUUCCCGGGCCUU
rnacentral:rRNA from 1 species